rnacentral:rRNA from 1 species
UACGUAGGGGGCAAGCGUUGUUCGGAAUUACUGGGCGUAAAGGGCGCGUAGGCGGCACAGCAAGUCGGGAGUGAAAGCCCGGGGCUCAACCCCGGAACUGCUUUCGAAACUGCUGAGCUAGAGUGCGGAAGAGGCAACUGGAAUUCCCAGUGUAGCGGUGAAAUGCGUAGAUAUUGGGAGGAACACCAGUGGCGAAGGCGGCUCACUGGACCGGUACUGACGCUGAGGCGCGAAAGCGUGGGGAGCAAACAGG